rnacentral:rRNA from 1 species
CCUACGGGUGGCAGCAGUGGGGAAUAUUGCACAAUGGGGGAAACCCUGAUGCAGCGACGCCGCGUGAGUGAAGAAGUAUUUCGGUAUGUAAAGCUCUAUCAGCAGGGAAGAAAUAGCGACCUUUGGUUCGCCAGACGGUACCUGUUUAAGAAGCCCCGGCUAACUACGUGCCAGCAGCCGCGGGAAUACGUAGGGGGCAAGCGGUAUCCGGAUUUACUGGGUGUAAAGGGAGCGUAGACGGCAGCGCAAGUCUGAAGUGAAAUGCCGGGGCUUAACCCCGGAACUGCUUUGGAAACUGUGAGGCUAGAGUGCAGGAGAGGUAAGUGGAAUUCCUGGUGUAGCGGUGAAAUGCGUAGAUAUUAGGAGGAACACCAGUGGCGAAGGCGGCUUACUGGACUGAAACUGACGUUGAGGCUCGAAAGCGUGGGGAGCAAACAGGAUUAGAUACCCCAGUAGUC